GCGCCCAUAGCUCAGACGGAUAGAGCAUCUGCCUUCUAAGCAGAGGGUCGUGGUGAGCGUA
rnacentral:tRNA from 1 species